rnacentral:lncRNA from 1 species
GCCAAGGACGCCGGAUUCCCUCAUUCGAGAGUCGUCCAUGAGGCGUCUGGCUCAUGUCACCUGUCAUGCAAACCCCAGUGCCUGUAGAGUCCUCACUACCCCUCCCCGACUCAGAGCCACAGAACAGCUUACCAGAGGGCCUGGCCAGAUUUGCAUUAUGAUGAGACUCUGCUGUGUAUCUUGUUUACAAGGUGCUUAGGGCAGGACUUCUGUAACCUAAGAAGAAUGUUAAACACCAGAAUAUUUUGGAUGAAAUAAAAACAUAUCCCCAUAAGCAAAAACUAGGUAAGACAAUAUUUGUAGAAUGUAUGAUGCCACAAAAAUUCUUAGGAAUAAGUUAACACUUGCAUAUUCAUGUGUAAAAAUUAACAGCAGUAUUUUGUCACAAAUCAAAUAAUUUUUAUUUUCUUCUUCCAAAACAUCCAGUAUUAAUACUUGUUAGUGUUCCUUUUACAGACUCUUGCUAUGUAUCACACAAAAUUCAUUCUGACUCCAAGACCAUUCUAUUUUCUUUUCU